rnacentral:rRNA from 1 species
CACGUAGGGGGCAAGCGUUGUCCGGAUUCAUUGGGCGUAAAGCGUUCGUAGGCGGGCUUGCAGGCGCGUUGUGAAAGCCCCCGGCUCAACCGGGGAACUGCUUCGCGAACCGCAAGUCUUGAGUCAAGUAGGGGGCGGUCGGAACGAUAGGUGGAGCGGUGAAAUGCGUAGAUAUCUAUCGGAACGCCAAAGGUGAAGACAGGCCGCUGGGCUUGUACUGACGCUGAGGAACGAAAGCGUGGGGAGCAAACGGG